UUCCCAGACUCCUACGGGAGGCAGCAGUGGGAGAUAUUGGACAAUGGGGGAAACCCUGAUCCAGCGACGCCGCGUGAGUGAAGAAGUAUUUCGGUGUGUAAAGCUCUGUCAGCAGGGAAGAAAGAAAUGACGGUACCUGACCAAGAAGCCCCGGCUAACUACGUGCCAGCAGCCGCGGUAAUACGUAGGGAGCAAGCGUUAUCCGGAUUUACUGGGUGUAAAGGGAGCGUAGACGGCGAAGAAAGUCUGAAGUGAAAGCCCGCGGCUCAACCGCGGAACUGCUUUGGAAACUUUUUUGCUGGAGUACCGGAGAGGUAAGCGGAAUUCCUAGUGUAGCGGUGAAAUGCGUAGAUAUUAGGAGGAACACCAGUGGCGAAGGCGGCUUACUGGACGGUAACUGACGUUGAGGCUCGAAAGCGUGGGGAGCAAACAGGAUUAGAUACCCUUGUAAG
rnacentral:rRNA from 1 species